rnacentral:lncRNA from 1 species
UAUUCUUGGGAGACCUUUUUUGGAAACCAGGAGAUUAAUUUUUUAUUUGGAUCAAGAAGAAAUGAAAUUUUGGAUUUAAAAUAAUGACGUAUCUUUCUGGGUUUGCAAUAUAGAAAAACAAUCAAUGGAACUUCAAGUGGUGUCCGUCAUUGAUGUGCUAGACACGAAGGUGGAUGAUGGGUCCCUCAAAGAACCAACUUUAAAUUUGAAGAACAUUAUGUAGCCUUGAUAAAUUAGGCAAUAGGUUGGAGGCAACCUAGAAAAUCCACGAAAGUUUCCUGUAUCCAUUGAAUUUUUAUUAUUUGAGUAGGUUUAAAUUUUGUUUGUGAUUAAUCCAUGAAAUUACGGUGCCAUAAGGUGUUUUGAAUGAGAUUGAGAGAGG